UCCAUGAGUAAAGCGGCGUACGGGUGAGUAACACGUGGGGUAAUCUACCUUUUAGUGGGGAAUAACCCUGGGAAACCGGGGCUAAUACCGCAUAAUCCUGUAAAGGGAAAGCAGCAAUGCGCUGAAAGAGGAGCCCGCGGCCGAUUAGCUAGUUGGUGAGGUAAUGGCUCACCAAGGCGGUGAUCGGUAGCCGGCCUGAGAGGGCACACGGCCACACUGGCACUGAAACACGGGCCAG
rnacentral:rRNA from 1 species